CAGCAGCCGCGGGUAAUACCAGCGGUCCGAGUUGCAAUCAAUUUUAUUGGGUCUAAAACAUCCGUAGCUUGUUUUGUAAGUCUCUUGUGAAAUUUCAUGUCUCAAGCAUGAAGCGAGCAAGAGAGACUGCAAGGCUAGAGACCGGGGGAUGUGAGGAGUACGUCCAAGGUAAUAGUAAAAUAUUUUAAUCUUGGACGGACUAACAAUAGCGAAGGCACCUCACAACAACGGAUCUGACAGUGAGGGAUGAAGGCUAGGGUCGCAAAACGGAUUAGAUACCCGUGUAGUCCUAGCAGUAAACACUGCACACUAAACCUUGUGAUCUCCUCGAGAGAUUGCAGGGCUGUAGGGAAGCUGAAGAGUGUGCUACCUGGGAAGUAUAGCCGCAAGGUCGAAACUUAAAGGAAUUGGCGGGGGGGCACUACAACGGGUGACGCGUGCGGUUCAAUUAGAUAACACCCCGUGAACCUCACCAGGAGCGACAGCAGAAUGAAGGUCAGUCUAAAGGGCUUACCUGACACGCUGAGAGGAGUUGCAUGGCCGACGUCAGCCUGUGUCGUGAGAUGACCUGUUAAAUCAGGUAACAGGCGAGACCCGCAUGCAUAGUUGCUACGUUAAGAGGACUCUAUGCAGACUGCCUUGGUAACAAGGAGGAAGGUGCGGACAACGUUAGGUGAGUACGGCCCGAAUCCCCUGGGCUACACGCGCGCGGCAAUGCUACACUCAAUGAGAUGCGACUCUGAAAAGAGGAGCUAAUCCCUAAUAUGUAGCUUAGUUCAGAUUGAGGUUUGUAACUCAACCUCAUGACGAUGGAAUCCGUAGUAAUCGUUCGUUAGCAGCAAACGGUGAAUAAGUCCCUGCCCCUUGCACAC
rnacentral:rRNA from 1 species